UAGGGAAUCUUCGGCAAUGGGGGGAACCCUGACCGAGCAACGCCGCGUGAGUGAAGAAGGUUUUCGGAUCGUAAAGCUCUGUUGUUAAGGAAGAACGAGUGUGAGAAUGGAAAGUUCAUACUGUGACGGUACUUAACCAGAAAGGGACGGCUAACUACGUGCCAGCAGCCGCGGUAAUACGUAGGUCCCGAGCGUUGUCCGGAUUUAUUGGGCGUAAAGCGCGCGCAGGCGGACUAGCCAGUCAGUCUUAAAAGUUCGGGGCUUAACCCCGUGAUGGGAUUGAAACUACUAGUCUAGAGUAUCGGAGAGGAAAGUGGAAUUCCUAGUGUAGCGGUGAAAUGCGUAGAUAUUAGGAAGAACACCAGUGGCGAAGGCGACUUUCUGGACGAACACUGACGCUGAGGCGCGAAAGCCAGGGGAGCGAACGGG
rnacentral:rRNA from 1 species